UGUUAAUUGUCCCUAGUGUGUAAAAAUAAUGCCAGUGCAUGGGAUCGCUGGUCGGUGCGACUUGGUGGGUCGAAAGGCCUGUUUCCUCGUUGUAUCUCUAAACUCAUUUAACUACUGUUCUUGGGAUUCAAUUUAUGAUGGCCACUGCUGUUAACUUUCAUUGGAUGCCCAGGUUGAGCAGGUGGUCCAAGCCUUAUGUGAGGUGGGGUGGUUCAUAUAUUGAGGAGAUCUCUGUGGUUCAUUUGGGAGUUGUAGUUCACAUUAAGCUGGAUGAGCAGGCGGAAGGGGAUAAAUGAACUCCUGUCAAGUAUUGUCUUUGAUGGUUAGUGAUCUUGCUGCUAUGAGCUUUGAAUAACAACAUUUUAUCCAUUUUUAAAUCAAUUUCUAUAACCAGGGAAUUGAACGGCAAGAACGCAAUUCACAGGAAGGAGAAUGUGCUUGGGUAAUGGACACAGAACUAACAGAAAACACCAAGCUACAUACCUGCCAUGUUUAAAAAAUAACCGAGUGCCACAUUUUUGACAAGCUGGAUACAGAAAACAUGUGUCAUGUAGACACAAUAUGGAAGCAGCAACAAAGGAUCUUUUCCCAUUCAUGAGCUUCCUGAGAGACAAGAAUGUCACAACAGAACAUAAUUAAUAAUUUGUAUUCUAGUUAGUUAUAAUACUUGAAUUAAAGAGAAAUGCAUGGUG